GGGUUGUGAGGUUAAGCGACUAAGCGUACACGGUGGAUGCCCUGGCAGUCAGAGGCGAUGAAGGACGUGCUAAUCUGCGAUAAGCGCCGGUAAGGUGAUAUGAACCGUUAUAACCGGCGAUUUCCGAAUGGGGAAACCCAGUGUGACUCGUCACACUAUCAUUAACUGAAUCCAUAGGUUAAUGAGGCGAACCGGGGGAACUGAAACAUCUAAGUACCCCGAGGAAAAGAAAUCAACCGAGAUUCCCCCAGUAGCGGCGAGCGAACGGGGAUGAGCCCAGAGCCUGAAUCAGCAUGUGUGUUAGUGGAAGCGUCUGGAAAGGCGCGCGAUACAGGGUGACAGCCCCGUACACAAAAGCGCAUAUGCUGUGAGCUCGAUGAGUAGGGCGGGACACGUGGUAUCCUGUCUGAAUAUGGGGGGACCAUCCUCCAAGGCUAAAUACUCCUGACUGACCGAUAGUGAACCAGUACCGUGAGGGAAAGGCGAAAAGAACCCCGGCGAGGGGAGUGAAAAAGAACCUGAAACCGUGUACGUACAAGCAGUGGGAGCCCCACCACUAAGCCAGUGGUGAACUCCACAUACGCAUCCUUUGCUGAGGAUGCGGUUAACGGAGCGAAAGCGACGUUCAACCGCAAAAGAAGCAGAGGGGGCUUAGUGGUGGGGUGACUGCGUACCUUUUGUA
rnacentral:rRNA from 1 species